AGUUAUUUCUUAAAUCCAGCCAAAGAUAAACAGGAUGGCUUUACCAAAAUCGCAAUACUUUCGAACAUAUUUUGGUGAAGGGGGAAAAGAAAGCAAAGGCCUCCAUGGCAACAAAGCCAACUCAAAACCACCUUAUCUCAAUAGAAGUAUAUCAGAUCUGCAACUCAGCAAUCAUGGCCUUACCAUUCUCAUGCAUGACUCAUCUUCCUAUUACCUGCCAUGGCCAACUCUUGUUGUGGCUCAUGAUGCCGGUGGUUUUAACAUAAUUUCAGACUAAACCCUCCCAAUUUUUGCUGCCAUUGAUGGAUUUGCUCCUUUUGGAUACCCUAGAAGGUGGUCUACCCUUCCCAAGGAAAAGAUGGCAAUGUUAAGUGGCAACUUUGAUUGAUGUGGGAUUUAGUCUCUGAUUGACGGUCCAUUACUAAUCAAGAAAACUAGUGGCUAACUUUAUAUAACCUGGUUGAACAAGCCUGUGGCUGAGUAGCUGAAUAGCUGGAUCUUUAGAAGCCUUGUGUAAAGGCCCACAAAACAUUGGGCUUGGGCCCGCCUCUGAGCAACGGCGCCGGCCCAACCCAUGAAAAAGGGGGAGGGAGACUACCGAUCGAAGCCUUCUCCCUCCCCUGUUCCAACUCCUCUUCCUCCCCCGAAUCCACCGGAAGGAGGAAAAAUAGGUGAUCAAUCCAUCUAUAAAAGGACCCCGUCCCCUCUCCCUUGGCUUCAAUCGCGAGAGCCCUUCCAUUGGAGGAUUUACCGCCAAGCAUUCUGUGGGAGGAGAUUGGAGUCUUCCCGUCGAUUCGGCCAGAGAAGCAUGCCGAAGGCACGCUUGCAGGUGCCAGAGGAUUGCCGCCGCAUGAAAACAUCGCAUGAUCCAACUUUCUCGACAAAUGCAUCGAUGGCACAAUUUGGAUCAUGCGAAACAUUGACGUGGAUGCAGCUCUGGGGAAGAUAACUCUACAGUAAAAGUACACGUGAAGCAUGAAAGAGCUGUAGUUAUCUUUCAAUGCAUCUCUGCGUACGCUGUUAAAAUGCUUAAAAUAUUUGAAUGCACCUUUACGUACCUUCCUCGACGAAAUAAAUCUAGGCAUAUCUCAUGUCUUCAACGUUUCAAUCUCUACCAUCAGUGCAGUUUCAAAUUACGCUUUCCCCACUUAGAGCUUUUAUAAUUUUGAAGUCGUAAAAUUUUCUCGA